CUGCGUGGUGGUCACCUCCUGCCCGCACACCUCGGAUAACACCUGGGCAGGUGAGACACAGGUGAGAUACAAGUGAGACAUGGACAGGUGAGAUAUGGACAGGUGAGAUACAGGUGAGAUAUGGACAGGUGAGACAGGUGAGACACGGGGCCAUGGGCAACAUCUGCGUGGUGGUCACCUCCUGCCCGCACACCUC